UAAUAGAUAAGUGUAAAAUUGAGACUUUAACAUUUUCAUGCAAUUUAUAUCAACAUGAUAUGCUAGAGUGUCGGUUCUACAACUAUCACAAA
rnacentral:pre_miRNA from 1 species